UAGGGACUCCACGCAAACGCCUGUGCCGCCUAUCGACGCCGCUGCAGACUGGUAACGCGGAUGCUACUCACGUACGCACCCAUACAUUCACAUACACAUCUGCUUCAGUCCUUACCGCGUCUCGCUACGUUCCCACUGAACAGCGGCGGCGACUUGCCGUCACCACAGGAGCUGCUACCUCCCCUUUUCGCUUUUACGUCUUUCUCAUACUGGGCGUGCAGUCACUAGUGCGGACACGGAGUCAACAGCUGAGUUCUGCCUGUCUGCCUGCUGUGCACAGAGCCAUGGCGGGCAUAGACGAGCAUCAAAUUCGCCAGUCGGCGCUCUGGGGCCACAUGACUCAAGCGCUUGCGCAGGUGAUCCGCGAGCGGCCCGCCGACGCGAUGGACGCUCUCGGGGCGGCUUCCAACCAACUCCUGUCCGGCAGCGCUGUGCCCCCCAUGAAAGGCAAUAUGUAUGCCGAUCCGCGGCCCACCGCUCGCGCUGCGGCCCCUGUUGACUCCUUCACGAACACGCGCUGGGCUGCCAACACGAACACUGCCUUGGCACCGCCGCGGCCGCCACGCCGCCCACGCCGCGCCGACGCCGAAGACGAACAAGAAGAAGAGGACGCAUCCGCCGACGCCGGGGCGGAUGGCCAGCCGCAAGUCGACCUCGCAGAUCACCCCGGUGCCCUUAGCGAUGUCGUGACGGAGCAGCAGUACUUCAACAUGGUUGGGCUUGGUUUGCCGCGGGUGGAUGCGUAUCGCCUGCUUGUUGGCCUACGCCAGCUGAUCCGAUCUGAGCCGCUGUCCACCGUGCGCUUCUGGGGCGUGGUCACGGGAAGCGCGUACGACUACUACGUCGCGGAAUGCCAGGUGGAUGAGGAUCGCAUGCAGGAGAACGCUGGCAUAACCGGCGAAGGCGAUGCGGAGGACGACAUGGAAGAGGAAGAGGAACACGCUCCCGUUUCGCAGAUCGCUGACGUGCUCUGUACCCUGGCGGGGGGCCGUCUUGCACGCCGCUGGCCACGUCCUUCCGCGCCGGCGGAGGAAGCCGGUACGGGCCUCAACGCCAUGUGCUACUAUGCUUCGACUAGCGCGGACCCCACGACUUGGACCCGCCUGCCGGACGUCAGCCCACACCACAUUACAGUUGCCCGCGCCUUGCGCUGCCGCUUCACUGGUAACCUCGACGCCCCCGUGCACGGACAUCCACGCUUCAUGGGGUGCGAGAAGCACUACCUGCGCGCUCAGAUUGCGCGCAUCACGAGCGCGUGCCGCAUCGCACCAGUGCAGACGUUCACCACCGAGGGUGCAGUGCCUGACGCGGAGGAGGAUGAAGAAGAGACCUCGGCUCGACCACCGCCGACGGCAGUGCCGGCCUACGCCGUGCUGCCGCCGCUGCUGCCGCAAGAAGCGCCGGACGAGGAGGACGCGGAGGCCAUCGCGGCUGUGCAGGCGUGGUACAAGGGAUACACAAAGGGGGAGCUGAUGCAGGCGAAGGGGUGGUCGCACAUUGCCCCGUCGGUGCUGAACUGCGGCCGCGUCACGACGGCGCCGGUAGAGGAGGAGGAAGAACCGGCUGAUGAUGAAGGCGACGACGGGCAGGGUGACGGCGCGAACGCUUCUGAGGCGUCACCGCCACCGGCGCCCGAGAUGAUCGCGCCUUUCCUGUCUGACAUUAGCCUCGACGCGCCACUCUCCUACCCCGGCCACAGCCGCUCCCACCUCGCUCCCUGGACCUUUCGCAAGGCCUACGAAGGGGAGGGGAGCCUGACAGCUGUGUAUGUGGCAAAGUCCCUCCGCUGGCCCGGCGCGGCCACCUACGCGGUGACGACUGCCGGACGUCCUGGGGCCUCUUACCAGAUGAUGUACUAUGGCACGGGUCUCAAGGACAUGCAGGGCGCCUACUAUGCCCCACCCCUCCCUCCCCCGUGCUUCCGCGAGUACGUCGAGGCGCCUGGUGAAUUCGACGGUCAGCGGGACUGCACCAUAGAUGAAGAGCUGCGUUACGCACCGCCUCCCCCGCGCCCGGAAGCUGAGGGGGAGGAUGAGGAGGAAGAUGACGUGUAGUGAGGGCGGCUUUGACGGCGAUGAGGUGCUUCCACGCUGGGCGAGGAGGCGCGGCAGAUGUUUGGAGACAGGGCAGACCAGCGUGCUCUCCUCGGUGCGCGCUCUCAAGCCUCUUGUCGCUCGACUUUCUCCGUUUCUCUCUUGCUUGGCACGUGUGCACACAUGUGCUACCCUUCCACCCCCGUCUUCCACGUGCAACUCGCAUGCGCCGAAGGGAGCGGGUGGGGCAGGGCCAGCGCAUGCCAGCACAUGCCGGCGGAGGCAGCGGCAGAGGCGGGGGUUGGCGGCAACAUGUAAAUUCGUUUCUUUUUUUAUGCUUGUGUGCUCGAGCUUAGUAUGUACAUAGGGAAGAGAAGGAAAAGAUUCAGCCAGGAAGGGCCGCUGCUCGGCAUCCCAUGACGGGGAUGACGUGGGUCGUGGGUCGUGCGGACCAAAUGGUGGAUGAGAAGGCAAAAGCUAGGCAUGGCUACGGACGCCCGCCCGCCUCUCCGUAUCUCAUCAACCGACACACAACCGCCUGUUGCUGCCGCACGACUUCUCUUUGCGUUGAUUCAUGCACCGCUGCGCACACGCACACGCACACGCACACGCACACGCGCGCGCGAGUACUUUGAGCGUAAGAGCUCAUGGAUAUUCCUCCCUCCUCACUCUCCGCACGAUCACCGUUGCGAUGCAACGAGGGAUCAGUGAGUGGACUGCAGUGCGUGCGUGUGCGUGUGUGUCUCAUGCCUCUUUCCUUGCUACUUCUUUUCUUCGCUGCGGUGCGCGCGCUCAUGAUGAUGUGGUGAUCGAUACUGUGAAAGGGAG
rnacentral:misc_RNA from 1 species